AAGAAAUACGCGAGGUGGUGGACGGACUUGAAAGAGAAGCUCGAAAGACUGGAAGACUAGAGCCACUUACACUUUACAGUUAACAACGGAGGAAGGGGACAAACUAAAGAAGCCCCCGGAUAUUCUCGAUUCUCGAUAUGCUCCUCUUCCUUGAAUUUUGGAUGUGCAUCGUUGAGAAUUCGCAUUGACGGAAGGAAGUCGUCGAGUUUCAACUGAAUUCUCUCAAUCUGUUAUUGGUUGAAAUCGCCUUGGGCAUCGGGCGACUAGACCGUGGCUGCUGACCACACCGAGCAAUCUGACCUAGAGUAAAGAAGUUAUGCCGCGGAUCUGGAUCGGACGGGAUCGCUCGUCGAUCUGAAGCUGAACCCGUUGCGUCUUGUUGUCUUCUGCGUCUUUGUACUUACUCCCGAGAAUCACGAGGGGAUCGAGCUGUCGUACGAGAAGAGCUAGUCGCGGUUCGAUACGAUCCUUCUCUUCAGAUCUCACAGAAGGAGCAGUUCUUCAACGCGUUCAGUGGUAGUCUGCCCGUUCAGAGGAUACCCGGAACGAUGACCAUCCGAAAGACAAAACAGAGGAGAAGGAAUUAUCGCGAUCUCAACUGUACCGCAAUGGAUAGUUGCGCGGUCGCUGGAGAUUUUUCUUUUCCACACCCUCGGCCGAAUCAUCCGAUAUAUCGUGGGUUCUGAUGCUCGUGUAUAAAUAAUAUCGAAGCUAUCAUUAUACGGUCUAAAUAUCGACGAUAGGAAUGAGACGAAGAGUAAGAGGGCGAAGAAUGUACGGAGAAAAUGGCCCGAAGGGUAUCAGCGGCACGUGACUUUUGAGA
rnacentral:misc_RNA from 1 species